UCGAGGGGUAACAUUGUAGCUUGCUACAGAUGACGACCGGCGCACGGGUGAGUAACGCGUAUGCAACCUGCCUUUGACAGGGGGAUAGCCCGGAGAAAUCCGGAUUAAUAUCCCAUGGUAUUUACGAAUCGCAUGGUUUGUAAAUUAAAGAUUUUAUCGGUCAAAGAUGGGCAUGCGUGACAUUAGCUAGUUGGUAAGGUAACGGCUUACCAAGGCUGCGAUGUCUAAGGGUUCUGAGAGGAUGAUCCCCCACACUGGUACUGAGACACGGACCAGACUCCUACGGGAGGCAGCAGUGAGGAAUAUUGGUCAAUGGGCGCAAGCCUGAACCAGCCAUCCCGCGUGAAGGAAGACUGCCCUAUGGGUUGUAAACUUCUUUUCUGCACCAGGAAUGGUUACUACGUGUAGUGAUUUGACGGUAGUGCAGGAAUAAGCAUCGGCUAACUCCGUGCCAGCAGCCGCGGUAAUACGGAGGAUGCAAGCGUUAUCCGGAUUCAUUGGGUUUAAAGGGUACGUAGGUGGCCAAUUAAGUCAGUGGUGAAAUCCUGCCGCUUAACGGUAGAACUGCCAUUGAAACUGGUUGGCUUGAGUACAGUUGA
rnacentral:rRNA from 1 species